GAUGUCACUAGCUGUUGGUUUUAUUAAUAAAAUUAGUAGCGCAGCAAACGCGAUAAGUUGACCGCCUGGGGAGUACGGUCGCAAGAUUAAAACGCAAAGGAAUUGACGGGGGCCCGCACAAGCGGUGGAGCAUGUGGUUUAAUUCGAUGCAACGCGAAGAACCUUACCUGCUCUUGACAUACAUCGAACCUAGCAGAGAUGCUGGGGUGCCGAAAGGAACGAUGAUACAGGUGCUGCAUGGCUGUCGUCAGCUCGUGUCGUGAGAUGUUGGGUUAAGUCCCGUAACGAGCGCAACCCUUGUUCUUAGUUACCAGCACGUAAUGGUGGGGACUCUAAGGAGACUGCCGGUGACAAACCGGAGGAAGGCGGGGACGACGUCAAGUCAUCAUGGCCCUUACGAGCAGGGCUACACACGUGCUACAAUGGCGGAUACAGAGGGGAGCGAAGCAGUGAUGUGGAGCGAAUCCUAAAAAGUCUGUCGUAGUCCGGAUUGGAGUCUGCAACUCGACUCCAUGAAGUCGGAAUCGCUAGUAAUCGCGAAUCAGCAUGUCGCGGUGAAUACGUUCCCGGGCCUUGUACACACCGCCCGUCACACCAUGGGAGUGGAUUGCACCAGAAGUAGAUAGCUUAACCGAAAGGGGGGGCGUUUACCACGGUGUGGUUCAUGACUGGGGUGAAGUCGUAACAAGGUAACC
rnacentral:rRNA from 1 species